rnacentral:rRNA from 1 species
CUACGUGCCAGCAGCCGCGGUAAUACGUAGGUCCCGAGCGUUAUCCGGAUUUAUUGGGCGUAAAGCGAGCGCAGGCGGUUAGAUAAGUCUGAAGUUAAAGGCUGUGGCUUAACCAUAGUACGCUUUGGAAACUGUUUAACUUGAGUGCAGAAGGGGAGAGUGGAAUUCCAUGUGUAGCGGUGAAAUGCGUAGAUAUAUGGAGGAACACCGGUGGCGAAAGCGGCUCUCUGGUCUGUAACUGACGCUGAGGCUCGAAAGCGUGGGGAGCAAACAGGAUUAGAUACCCUGGUAGUCCACGCCGUAAACGAUGAGUGCUAGGUGUUGGGUCCUUUCCGGGACUCAGUGCCGCAGCUAACGCAUUAAGCACUCCGCCUGGGGAGUACGACCGCAAGGUUGAAACUCAAAGGAAUUGACGGGGGCCCGCACAAGCGGUGGAGCAUGUGGUUUAAUUCGAUGCAACGCGAAGAACCUUACCUACUCUUGACAUCCAGAGAACAUUC